rnacentral:rRNA from 1 species
UGAAUCUUGAACAAUGGGGGAAACCCUGAUGCAGCGACGCCGCGUGAGCGAUGAAGCCCUUCGGGGUGUAAAGCUCUUGCGACCCGGAAGAUAAUGACGGUACGGGGCGAAGAAGCUGCGGCUAACUACGUGCCAGCAGCCGCGGUAAUCCGUAGGCAGCGAGCGUUGUUCGGAGUUACUGGGCGUAAAGAGUGCGUAGGCGGCGGACCAAGUCUGGUGUGAAACCUCCCGGCUCAACCGGGAGGGUGCGCCGGAAACUGGGUUGCUGGAGUACUGGAGAGGCAGGCGGAAUUCCUGGUGUAGCGGUGAAAUGCGUAGAUAUCAGGAGGAACACCCGCGGUGUAGACGGCCUGCUGGACAGUCACUGACGCUGAGGCACGAAAGCGUGGGGAGCAAAC